CCGUACACAAAAGCGCAUGUGCUGUGAGCUCGAUGAGUAGGGCGGGACACGUGGUAUCCUGUCUGAAUAUGGGGGGACCAUCCUCCAAGGCUAAAUACUCCUGACUGACCGAUAGUGAACCAGUACCGUGAGGGAAAGGCGAAAAGAACCCCGGCGAGGGGAGUGAAAAAGAACCUGAAACCGUGUACGUACAAGCAGUGGGAGCACAGGUUUACCUGUGUGACUGCGUACCUUUUGUAUAAUGGGUCAGCGACUUAUAUUCUGUAGCAAGGUUAACCGUAUAGGGGAGCCGGAGGGAAACCGAGUCUUAAUUGGGCGUUAAGUUGCAGGGUAUAGACCCGAAA
rnacentral:rRNA from 1 species